GACGAACGCUUGCGGCGUGCUUAACACAUGCAAGUCGAACGGAAAGGCCCUGCUUUUGUGGGGUGCUCGAGUGGCGAACGGGUGAGUAACACGUGAGUAACCUGCCCUUGACUUUGGGAUAACUUCAGGAAACUGGGGCUAAUACCAGAUAGGAGCUCCUGCUGCAUGGUGGGGGUUGGAAAGUUUCGGCGGUUGGGGAUGGACUCGCGGCUUAUCAGCUUGUUGGUGGGGUAGUGGCUUACCAAGGCUUUGACGGGUAGCCGGCCUGAGAGGGUGACCGGCCACAUUGGGACUGAGAUACGGCCCAGACUCCUACGGGAGGCAGCAGUGGGGAACAUUGCACAAUGGGCGGAAGCCUGAUGCAGCAACGCCGCGUGCGGGAUGACGGCCUUCGGGUUGUAAACCGCUUUCGCCUGUGACGAAGCGUGAGUGACGGUAAUGGGUAAAGAAGCACCGGCUAACUACGUGCCAGCAGCCGCGGUGAUACGUAGGGUGCGAGCGUUGUCCGGAUUUAUUGGGCGUAAAGGGCUCGUAGGUGGUUGAUCGCGUCGGAAGUGUAAUCUUGGGGCUUAACCCUGAGCGUGCUUUCGAUACGGGUUGACUUGAGGAAGGUAGGGGAGAAUGGAAUUCCUGGUGGAGCGGUGGAAUGCGCAGAUAUCAGGAGGAACACCAGUGGCGAAGGCGGUUCUCUGGGCCUUUCCUGACGCUGAGGAGCGAAAGCGUGGGGAGCGAACAGGCCUAGAUACCCUGGUAGUCCACGCUGUAAACGGUGGGUACUAGGUGUGGGGUCCAUUCCACGGGUUCCGUGCCGUAGCUAACGCUUUAAGUACCCCGCCUGGGGAGUACGGCCGCAAGGCUAAAACUCAAAGGAAUUGACGGGGCCCCGCACAAGCGGCGGAGCAUGCGGAUUAAUUCGAUGCAACGCGUAGAACCUUACCUGGGUUUGACAUGGAUCGGGAGUGCUCAGAGAUGGGUGUGCCUCUUUUGGGGUCGGUUCACAGGUGGUGCAUGGCUGUCGUCAGCUCGUGUCGUGAGACGUUGGGUUAAGUCCCGCAACGAGCGCAACCCUUGUUCACUGUUGCCAGCACGUUAUGGUGGGGACUCAGUGGAGACCGCCGGGGUCAACUCGGAGGAAGGUGGGGAUGACGUCAAGUCAUCAUGCCCCUUAUGUCCAGGGCUUCACGCAUGCUACAAUGGCUGGUACAGAGAGUGGCGAGCCUGUGAGGGUGAGCGAAUCUCGGAAAGCCGGUCUCAGUUCGGAUUGGGGUCUGCAACUCGACCUCAUGAAGUCGGAGUCGCUAGUAAUCGCAGAUCAGCAACGCUGCGGUGAAUACGUUCCCGGG
rnacentral:rRNA from 1 species